rnacentral:rRNA from 1 species
GAUUAACUUUAACUGGAGUGAAGGUGGGGAUGACGUCAAGUCAUCAUGGCCCUUACGGCCUGGGCUACACACGUGCUACAAUGGUCGGUACAGAGGGUUGCCAAGCCGCGAGGUGGAGCUAAUCUCACAAAACCGAUCGUAGUCCGGAUCGCAGUCUGCAACUCGACUGCGUGAAGUCGGAAUCGCUAGUAAUCGCGAAUCAGAAUGUCGCGGUGAAUACGUUCCCGGGCCUUGUACACACCGCCCGUCACACCAUGGGAGUGGGUUGCACCAGAAGUAGCUAGUCUAACCUUCGGGAGGACGGUUACCACGGUGUGAUUCAUGACUGGGGUGAAGUCGAACAAUGAGCCAUGGCA